CUGCUGCCUCCCGUAGGAGUCUGGUCCGUGUCUCAGUACCAGUGUGGGGGACCUUCCUCUCAGAACCCCUACGCAUCGUCGUCUUGGUGGUCCGUUACACCGCCAACUAACUAAUGCGACGCA
rnacentral:rRNA from 1 species